UCUGCCUCCGCGGUGGAGGGGAUGCAAGCCGUCGCCGCCUCUUCUCCUCUUUUAACUCUGCCUCGCCACCGCCUUCCCGCCUCUUCCCUUACGUGUGCUGCCGCCGCAAUGUCGCCCUCCUCUAAUCGUGAACAGAGUGCUUCCGCCACUGCCGCUCUUUCCAAUCAGGUCGCCGCAUCUGCAAUAAAAAAUCCAUCCGCCUGGAGAAGAGGAACGUGAGCCGCCACCGGCCACCAUCCUCAUCUGCCAGUGAGGACGGUCACAUCUUGGUAAGGAUGGGGGCAAGGCACGGGCACGCGAAUCCCCCCACGGCGCCCUCCACCUUUUUUUUUUCUCUGUGGCAGUGCGCUCCCUCCCCCUCGCAUCAGUUCUUUUUCUGCGGCAAGAUCUCAUCGCAUUUACAACAGCAGUGGUUCAAAGCAACCUAUCUAAUGGCAAAAGAUCUGCUGGUACUCCAUAGGUUGCUUGGAUUUUAUUUCUACCAGUUGCAGUUGGAGUUAGCACGUAUGUCUUAAUCCACUCAAGAAACUUCUGCCAACCCCGGUGAGUUUUCCCCAAAUGGAUCCCUUAAAUUUUAAAGUUUGUAGUUGAGUGCAUAUAUCCAUCUACAUUUUGCUCGCUGGAAUGCUCUCCUUGAUGUUUUGAUAUGGAGAAGAACAAGCUACUUAGCAGCCCAUACGAAUGUGCUGUUCUCCAAGAGGCAUGUGUGGCUGUGCAAAUGCAGCCUGCGACGGAGUGCCACAACAAGCUCUGCUAAACUGGUUUGCUUGGCCAUCCAUGCAAUGGCAGCUUGGCGCAGCCAGGGAUUGCUAGCAGCCCAUGUAUACGACGGAGUACUUCUCAUGAUAACAAGCUAUAUUAUUAUCUCACUACAUCUUAUUUCACUCCGCAUGAUUAUUAAGAGUUUAGCUUCUAUAUAUUAAAGGUUGCUUGCCUACAUCAAACCUUUGAUUCAAGGUAAAACCCAUCAAGUUCUUCAAUUAUUGUUUACUGAGUGUAAUGUGAAUUAUUAUCUUUACUAAUUUGCCUCUGCAGCCAUGUUGUCAGAUUUGAGCAUACCUUAGAUAGCUAAAUCCUACCGUUUUUGAGAGCAAUUCUUACCUGAAUUAGCUCCGCGAACCAAUUGUUCUUGCUACUAUAAAAUUUGCUCCAUGUUAGAUCUUCCUUUUGUCUUUGCAACCCAAUUGUUCUCGCUGCUAGAACAUUUGCUCUAUGUUAGAGCAAACCAUUUGUUUUUGCAUGCCCAAAUUACAAAUGUGAAGCAAGUUGUGUUCAGUUUUUUCUUCUUGGUCAUGCGGGAAAGUCUAGAUGUGCUUCUUCAUUCUCUGCUCGGUAGUCUAUAUAGAUCGGUUUUACCUGUUUACACGAGUGCUUGCAGUACUAAGUUGAACCGUUCACAUGGACUCCCCAUGUUCUCCUCUUUGUAUGGCGCACAUAUUCUGUCACCUAUAUAACUUAUUCUCUAAACAUACAAGUUAUGUAUUCAGCUGUAAUAGCAAUUAUUCAGUUUUUUACUUUUUCGAGAGGAGUUUACGAAAAUUGUUCUUGGAUACUAUAACAUGCCAGGACUAUUUUGCAGUUUCCACAUAGAGGAUUACACAUUUAGUACCAUGAAUCUUGAUCUAGAGAUUAUGAAUAACCCAAAAGUUCUCUAGACCUCAUGGGUCAUGUCCUCCUAGGUCGUGCUUUCUAUAAAUUUGUUCAGUUCAUGAACUGUAUAGUACAUCUUAUUGCAUAGAAAGUCUAACUUUAAUCUUUACAUCCAACUCUAGGAGAUAAAUUUACCAUGUUUUUGAAAAUAUGUUAAAGUCCAGCAAUAUAUCUAAUUCAUCAUUAGUAAAACUUAAAACAUAUUAUCUAAUUUAUUAGGAGUUAUUGGAUUAGGUUUUUCUUGCGUUGCAUUGCAGGACCGAUUAGCUGAGGAAUAGUUUCAUUUUCAGUAUUGGAUCAUCAAUAGUUUGGUAAUAUUUGAUGAGCUAAAUGUGGUUUUUUUGCUGCUCCUUAAGUUGCUACUGCAAUAAUUAGUACACUUCUAUUCAGCUCAUUCUUUGUGGUUUACAUGCGAACUUUUUAGUUAACUCAUUUUGCUUUAUACUAACACAUAGAUCCUAUCCAAUCUUUAUUAUGAUGUCUUAUGUGGUCAUUUUGACCUUCUAUUGCGGACAUUAUCUUAGUUGACCAAUUUUCAUGGAUUGCUUCUUUUUGUUGUAGGUGGUGUUCAAAAUCAGCACAUGGUUCAUCUCUACCACUUGCAGUCUGAUUCUACAGUAUUUCCUAACCAUAGCUACAAAUACUUUUUUAUGAAAAAAAAUCCCAUUUCAAAUAUACCUCAAUAUCUCAAUUUACAUAUGACCAGUGUUAAUGAUCUGUUAUAUUGACUCUUAAGUCAAUUUUGACACAUCUUGAAUUUAAUUAACCCAAACAAAUAGAUUUAUUUUUACCUUUAUGCUUUGUCAGGAAUUGGUGGGCAUCUGGAUUUCCAGAUAUUACAAUGAUAUAUCCGUGUUCUUCCACGAAGCAGGAGAAAUCUACAGUAUGUCUGAAUUGUUAAGCUAUGCAAGUAUAUGUACAUGAAAGAUGCAAUUAUCAAUUUAUUUAGUUUUUAUAUAAGGUGGUCAUUUUAUAGCCCAGUUCUUAUAUUGAUGUAUCAUCUUUUAGGUUGCAGUAACAUAUAAAGGCCUGCUUGGCCAUGAGUCAUGUAUGCAUUUUGUACAUUGGCAGUGAAAGAUUUUGACUAUGCACUGCUCUUUACACAUUAAAGUGCAGGAGAAUACUUAUUAUGCAUUGUUGUAUGUUAAUACAAUCAUCAUCGCACGCAGCGUAGCGCGUGUUUCUUUCUAGU